CUCUUCAAGGAAGGGUCCCAGCCAACCUCUCUGCUUCCUCAAGGCUGUGUCUGAUCUGAGUGGAGGUCAAAGGCAAGUGCCCAUGGCUGUGAACCUCUGUUCACGCUUCAGAUUCUCUCUCCUCACUGAAGGGUUGGAAUAUCAGAAAAAUAGGCCUACAGAGAUUUCUGUGUUACUUCAUCAUAAUAUUGUUUGAAUGGCUACCAGCCUGGAACAAGCACCUAAGUCAUAGUGGACUGAGAGAGGGAAAUUACGCUUUCAAAGGAACAAAAAAAAAUCACAGCUGUUUCUUUUGCUGACUUGCUGGCUAGCAAAUCAUCUCAAAUGAGAACCAGGGUGUUAACAGAUUACUUCCUUGUGAUUUUUUUUCCCUUGUACAAUGAUAAAAAAAAGGCUUAGAAGCAGUAACUUGGGUAAUGCAAAACAUGAAAGAAAAUAAAAAGGGAAAAGCAAUAAAAAAAAAUUUAAGUUCUUUUUAGAACAGUUAUAAUUGUUCCAAUUGAAGUUGAGAAGAAAAUGGCUGCCUAAAUAUCAUUAGUUUGUUCCUUCUCUACCAAUUUCAUUGGUAAGCGGUGAUGACAAUGUUUUUCCUCAAAAAUGUAAAACCCACAUAUUAAUGGGGUUGUUCAUGAAUACAUAAAAGAAUUUCUUUUUCUGCAGAGGUUAUAUUAUGUCUAAUCAUACCAUUUCUGAGGGGGAAAAGCAAACAAACAGACUUAGAGGGCCAAAUGAUCUUUAAAAUAGAUCUGGACAAGGGGCAACCUUGUACAGACAAGGAUUAUUCUGUGUUAUUCUACUCAAUUGUAUUAUUCUACCCAAGACAGAACAUCUAUUGUCAGAGACAAAAAAAAGAUAUUCCUAGCUCUUCUCAGACUGUCUCAAAUCACCUCUAUUCUUCUGCCUUGCCCACUGCUGCAGAUGCAAUUAUUGCACUAGGGCUGCUCAGAAGAGUUUUUAAGUAAGUAACAGAGAUGGAAGAUACAUCAAUUCUAUUAAAAAAAAAAAAAAUAAAUUGUAAAAUGUGUAGAGUAGGGCAACCUAAAUCUGAAGGAGAAGGAGCUUAUUCCAUAAGGUUUGCACCUCUGUACGCUGGUUAAAUGUUGUUCCAUUUGACCUCCCCAGCUAGAGAGAAGUAAAACAUAAGAAACAUCAGCUACUCAGAGUCCAAAACAAAUAAAAAUGUCCCAGACUUAGAGGGCUGAAUAGCGAUGAUACAAGUAAAAACUUGUACACAUUAACAGUAAUUUAUCAGCAUCAAAUAAGUAAAAGUCAGCACGACUGACCUUUUUCAUAAGUACCCAGAGCAAAUUAAAUCCAAAACUCUUCCCAUAAAAUUAGCAAA